CCCUUAGAUGUCCUGGGCCGCACGCGCGCUGCACUGAACGGAUCAGCGCGUUUUCCCUUCCCGAGAGGGACGGGUAACCUGCUGAACCCCGUUCGUGGUAGGGAUCGGGGCUUGCAAUUAUUCCCCGUGAACCAGGAAUGCCCAGUAAGUGCAAGUCAUAAGCUUGCGUUGAUUACGUCCCUGCCCUUUGUACACACCGCCCGUCGCUACUACCGAUUGAACGUUUUAGUGAGGUACUCGGACUGAGCCUCAGAAGAUUCACGUCUUUUGUGCUGCUCGGGAAGAUUCCCAAACUUGAGCGUUUAGAGGAAGUAAAAGUCGUAACA
rnacentral:rRNA from 1 species